rnacentral:lncRNA from 1 species
UCGUCACCAGAAUAGCCCUCUUUUGCCCAAAAAAAGUCCAAUACAACCCAAAAUUAGCUUUUUUCUCAACUAAAUGAACAAUAGCUUUUACCCAUGUUAAGCCAUCAAACAUCACCUCAAAUCGCCCCAAAUCAUCCUUUGUUUAUUGCUGAAAAACCGUCACCAAAAAUCAGCCAAAUCCCAGUACCUUUUAGCUGUAAAAAGCACAAAAAUCAGGCUUCAAAACAGCCAAAAAAAAAACAUUGCAGCUAAAAUCUGCCAAAAAAUACAGCAAAACCAAUUGUGAAGCUGCUGAAAACAGCGUCAAAUGACCCAAAAUAGUUGUUGAAAAUCUGCUCAAUUCCAUCUUUGAAACAACCCUCAAAAUUCGCCCAAAACUCGUGCAAAAAACCAAAAACGAGCACAUCGUCUUACUCCACUAAAAUAGUUGUUCAAACAACUACCAAACCGGCUCUCUUCCACCAUAAAAAUGCAGUAGCUUCCAUCUUCAUUCAUUUACCGAUGCUCUCUUGAGUUGAACAAGUCUGACGAGGCCGUUCGAGGUGCUGAGGUCGGUCGGCAAAAUUCCCGGUCAAGAGUUGAUUAAUCUUGGAUGUAAUUUUAACCCAGAUUCGUUUAUACAAAGGUCCAAUUUCUUAUCUUCAAUCUAUUUUAUUGAUCUAUUUGUGUGCCAAUUUUGUUUAGAAAUUUAGAUGUUGGUUU